CUCUUAUCCUGAGCCGGUGGAGGGACAGGCCCUGUGAAACCCAGCAACCUGCCGUAUAAAACGCGGAAAAGGUGCUAAACCUGAGCAAGGAUCAACCUUGGACGAUAAGAG
rnacentral:ncRNA from 2 species